GAAACAUAGCCUCACAUACACAGUUGCAAGUGGAGGAGUGUUUAGUCUGUUACCA
rfam:Ornithogalum virus 5, complete genome